UUAUAUUGAUAUUUAUGUAUGUUCUAAUCCUCUAUUUGCUGAAAGCGGCAUAAAACAGUGCAGAUUUGCUUUUUAUUUGCUUUGCUUCACUUCACUUUUGCUUUGAUUCUUUACCAGCUAGGGUUUUGCAGCGACAAGUCUGAGAUAAAAGACAUUACUCGAUCUCUUCUUAUUUUGUUCAUGUUCAUUUGGUGAAGCCGCUACGAUUGACAUGUUGUUGGGUACUUUUUUGUCUUUGCUACCCUCGUCAAAAAGUUUACAGCCCUUUGAGAGGGCAAACAAAAUGAGCAGAAUUGCAAGUUUGGAGUGUACAACCACCAUCACCUGAGUACUUCACUGGAACAUAUGUGAUUAUUGGGGAAACAAGGUAACCGACCUCAGGGGACUAAUAACCAGCUUCUGGGGCUUCAAAUGGUUUCUUCAGUAGAAGUUGCACGAUGCAGUUAUAUAUGUUAGUUUAAUGUCCUUUCUGGCUGUUAAUUUGUUACUUUAGGAUAUGUUCUGCAGAUGUUUGUGAAAAUUAUGGGAAUAUAAUUAGGAAAUGGAAGACUAUCAAGAAUUAGAGUUUCCCCUUCCUAGCUGGAUCAGGAAAAAUUCCUCUGAGAUGGCUCAAUCAUGGUUCUUGAUUCUCUCCUUUUUCAUUGCUGGUUUAGUUGGAAUUCUCACAAUCUUUUAUACAGCUUUCCAAUGGAGAAGGAACGUAAACAUUAGUUGGAUGAAAGCCAUAGCUAGGUCAAAGAAAAACCCGAAAGCCAAGUAUAAGGUCCCUGUAGCUCCUCAUACUUGGACUCUGGAAUCCAUAUCUCGAGGAAAAAGUUUAACUUGCUGUGUCUGCUUACAGUCUAUGUCUCCAUCUCAAACUCUUGGACCAAUGGUGGCAUCAGAGAGUUCUUUUAAUUGCUGCAACACUUGUGGUGCAGCAGCUCAUCUUAGUUGCUCAUUGAAUGCUCUUAAGGAUUGCAAAUGUGUAUCAAUGUUUGGAUAUAAGCACGUGGUACACCAAUGGGCAGUUCGGUGGACAGAGGUGGCAGAUCAACCAGAUGAAUCCUGUUUCUGCAGCUACUGUGAAGAGCCGUGCAGCAGUUCAUUUCUUGGGGGUUCCCCUGUAUGGUGCUGCUUAUGGUGUCAGCGCCUGGUUCACGUUGAUUGCCAUGCUAAUAUGUUCAAUGAAACAGGUGAUAUUUGUGACUUGGGCCCUUUUAGAAGGCUUAUUUUAUCGCCUCUUCAUAUUAAAGAGUUAACUAGGACAUCCUCUGGUGGACUGCUUAGUUCCAUCACACAAGGAGCCAAUGAGAUUGCAUCUUCAGUACGUGCUAGUAUUAGAAGUCAAAGCAAGAAAUACAAACACAAACACAAUAACAAAAAAAAUGGAAAUGUGGUUUCUGCGGGCAAUGGUGACACUAUUGGUAACACAUCCACUGAAAGCACCACAGAUACUUAUCAAGUAAAUGAUACUUACAGAGAAGAGGAAAAUUAUAAUGGUGGUAUACAGAGAGAGAAUGUAGAUCAGCAUCAAGGAAAUGUUCUGAAAAAGCUUGUAUCUAUACCAAGCUUCAAGAGGAGUUCUUCUAUCAACCAGAAGGAUGAGUCUCAGUUAAUACGAAUAAAACAGAAAUAUGAAUUGACUGAUUUGCCUCCAGAUGCUAGGCCUCUGCUAGUUUUCCUAAACAAGAAAAGUGGAGCUCAGCGAGGAGAUUCACUUAGGCAGCGAUUGAACAUUUUGUUAAAUCCUGUGCAGGUCUUUGAGUUGAGCUCAACAGAAGGACCCGAAAUAGGUCUUUAUCUAUUCAGAAGUGUCCCUCACUUCCGGAUUCUCGUUUGUGGAGGAGAUGGAACUGUUGGUUGGGUUUUGAACGCUAUAGAUAAACAGAACUUUGUUUCACCUCCACCAGUAGCAAUACUUCCUGCUGGGACGGGAAAUGAUUUGGCUCGAGUUCUUUCUUGGGGUGGUGGCUUGGGUGCAGUUGAGAGGCAAGGAGGUCUUUGCACACUUUUGCAUGAUAUCGAACAAGCCGCGGUAACCAUUCUUGAUCGUUGGAAAGUUUCAGUGUUAAAUCAACAGGGAGAGCUGCUUCAACCUCCAAAGUUCUUGAACAAUUACCUUGGUGUUGGUUGCGAUGCAAAGGUUGCAUUAGAAAUCCAUAAUAUGAGGGAGGAGAACCCCGAAAAGUUUUACAAUCAGUUCAUGAACAAAGUUCUUUAUGCCAGAGAAGGCGCCAAGAGUAUAAUGGAUAGAACUUUUGCAGAUUUUCCAUGGCAAGUUCGUGUGGAGGUUGAUGGUGUUGAGAUUGAGGUUCCUGAGGAUGCAGAAGGUGUUCUUGUAGCUAAUAUAGGGAGCUACAUGGGCGGAGUAGACUUAUGGCAGAAUGAAGAUGAGAGCUAUGAUAAUCUUGAUCCUCAAUCCAUGCACGAUAAGAUGCUGGAGGUUGUUAGCAUUUCUGGUACCUGGCAUCUGGGGAAGCUGCAGGUCGGGCUUUCAAAAGCUCGGAGGCUUGCACAAGGACAAGUGAUAAAAAUUCAACUUUUUGCUGCAUUUCCUGUUCAAGUAGAUGGAGAACCAUGGAGUCAGCAACCCUGUACAUUGACGAUUACACAUCAUGGACAGGCCUUUAUGCUGAAGAGAGCAGCAGAAGAACCUCUGGGCCAUGCAGCAGCCAUAAUUGCAGAUGUGCUUGAAAAUGCAGAAUCCAAUAAAGUAAUUAAUACAUUACAAAAGCGGGCACUGCUUCAAGAAAUGGCAAUCAGACUGUCUUAGCUGCCAUUCUUACAAGAUUGGACGCUGCUGCUCUUUUAGUUUGCUACAGUCUCUGGCUGAAGCUUGUUCCUACAGUGAACUCUACAGUGUAAAGACUUCAAAAUGAGGUAAAUUUUGCAGCGGCGUGUUUGAUUGUAUAUCAUGUUUAAGGUUAUCAAAACUUUUAUUCUUCGUAGAGGCGGACCCUCGUGGAAGGUAUGGGGGGCACAGUUUGUUAUUUUGUAUAUAGAUGUGUAUAUCUUGAAAGACGUGUGUAUAUACACGAAGUCUCGUUUGGUCACUGGUCUAGUUACUGAACAGCUUUUGCUCUUGCGGAAAGCAAUGCGAGCUGGAUUCCGAGCUUUCAA